CGAAGCGAAAGUGACGGUACCUGCAGAAGAAGGUCCGGCCAACUACGUGCCAGCAGCCGCGGUAAUACGUAGGGACCGAGCGUUGUCCGGAUUCAUUGGGCGUAAAGAGCUCGUAGGCGGCUGCUCAAGUCGAAUGUGAAAACUCGAGGCUCAACCUCGAGCCUGCAUUCGAUACUGGGCGGCUAGAGUCUGGUAGGGGGAUCUGGAAUUCCUGGUGUAGCGGUGGAAUGCGCAGAUAUCAGGAGGAACACCGGUGGCGAAGGCGGGAUCCUGGGCCAGUACUGACGCUGAGGAGCGAAAGCGUGGGGAGCAAACAGGAUUAGAUACCCUGGUAGUCCACGCCGUAAACGAUGGGCGCUAGGUGUGGGAGGUCAUCGACUCCUUCCGUGCCGCAGCUAACGCAUUAAGCGCCCCGCCUGGNGAGUACGGCCGCAAGGCUAANACUCAAAGGAAUUGACGGGGGCCCGCACAAGCAGCGGAGCAUGUUCUUUAAUUCGAUGNCACGCGAAGAAACCUUACC
rnacentral:rRNA from 1 species